rnacentral:tRNA from 1 species
GCUCGACAUCCUCGAGGACGACGGUUCGUUCCGGUCGAUCCGCGACUGGCCCCGGGCCUGGCGCCAGUUCCUGUCCGGCAUCGAGAUC